AACGGCUCGUGCGUUAUGCAUUCUCCUACCAAUCCUUGGUCUAACCUGGAUCGCUGGAACCAUCACCAGUUUCACCCAAUCUGAUGCUGUCAUCUGCUUUCAGUACAUCUUCAUCAUCUGUUUCUCCCUCCAGGGUGUCUCCAUUUUGGUGUUUCACUGCUUGCUAGUUCCGGCUGUGAAAACAGCGCUGAAGCUUCGGCUUGGUCGUCGUGUUGGAGAUAGCACUUGGGCAAUUAGGAGGAGUUCCAAGUCAACC